AUUGAACGCUGGCGGCAGGCCUAACACAUGCAAGUCGAGCGGUAACAGGAGAAGCUUGCUUCUUGCUGACGAGCGGCGGACGGGUGAGUAAUACUUGGGUAUCUGCCCGAUAGUGGGGGACAACACGGGGAAACUCGUGCUAAUACCGCAUACGUCCUACGGGAGAAAGCAGGCUUAUGCUUGCGCUAUCGGAUGAGCCCAAGUCGGAUUAGCUAGUUGGUGAGGUAAAGGCUCACCAAGGCGACGAUCCGUAACUGGUCUGAGAGGAUGAUCAGUCACACCGGGACUGAGACACGGCCCGG
rnacentral:rRNA from 1 species